GAUGGAGAAUUAGUGAAUCGUCAUUCACUUACCUUCAAUUUAUUUGCAUGUUAGAUUACGGCAUCCCUUUUCUAGUAUGUAAAUGUUAUUGUUGGAUCCUAGCCCUAAUUUUCUUAUUGGGUGAUAAUUAGGGAUUCUUAUUCUAAUCUAUCUUUGUCCUUUUCUAAUUGUAGAUGUCGAACGCAAACAACGCUGCUGCUAGUUCUUUCACGUUGAUGAGCCUUUGCCAAAAGGUCACCUUCGAUGGAACGAACUUUAGCGAAUGGAUAAGAUACAUUCGCACCAUUGCUCGCUAUGAGGAUAAGGAGUAUGUCCUCGAUGAGAAGCUCGAGAAAAUCAACCCCGAAAUUGCUACUCCCGCCGAAAUCACCGCCUUUGAAACUCAUGAGCGAGAUGCAACGAAGGUACAUUGCAUCAUGAUCGCCACCAUGAACUCCGAAUUCCAAAAGUCCUACGAGGACAUGUACCCGUACGAGAUGCAUCAAGACUUAUUGGAGAGGUACCACCAAAACGCGAGACAAGAGAGGUACGAGAUUUUCACUAACAUGAUUUCCGCGAAGAUGGGUCAUGGAGAAUCUCUUACCGUGCACUUGCAAAAGAUGCAAAGGUAUGUUGACCGCCUUCGCAAGUUAAAUGUUGACUUCGGUGAAGACUUGGCGAUCGACAUGGUGCUUCACUCUUUGCCUCCGAUGUACAACCAAUUUAGGAUGACCUACCACAUGAACAAAGAAGAGGUCACCCUAAGCAAGCUCCAAGGUCUCUUGAGGGUUGCUGAGAGCAACUUCAAAGACAAGUCUGUUGCACCUACUCCCAAUCCGCCCGCUGCUCCUGUCUUGGCUAUUGGACAAGGGAAGGGAAAGAAGAGGAAAGCUUCAUCGAAGAACUAUCGCAAGGUGAAAGCCCGAGAUGGUGCCUCUUCUAGUGGGACCAAAGUUGAUCCCGCCAAGCCCUGCUCUAACCCGAAGGAGGCAGAGUGCCACCACUGCCACAAGAUAGGACAUUGGAAGAGAAGCUGCCCGGAUUACCUGCAAGCAAUCAAAGAAGGAAAGAUCAAGCCAUCUUUCGCAGGUAUAUAUACAAUCAAAUCUAACGAUUCUAAUCAUGCUAUUUCUUGGGUUCUUGAUACCGGUUGUGGUUAUCACAUUUGUUCUAAUGUGCAGGGACUAAGAAGAAGUAGGGAUGUGGAGCAAGGAAGGAUCAAUCUAAUCAUGGGGAACAGAAGAUCGUCGCCUGUGACCAAGAUUGGAGUGUAUUCCUUAGUGCUUAGGAAUAGUUUAGUUUUAGAUUUGAACAAUUGUUGCUAUUCGCCAGAAAUGGCAAGAAACAUCAUUUCAUUUCAUGGUUUAUAUAGACAAGGAUUUAGAUUUUCUUUUAAUAAUGAGAAUGGUUCUAUUUUGGCUUAUCUAAAUGGUGUCUUUUACUUUGAAGCUAUACCAUGUAAUGGAAUAUAUGAAACCGUUAUGAUUGUUGAUAACUUAGGAAAUGAUGUUUUGAAUAUUGAUUCUUCCACUAGUAUGGAUAAAGCAUCCUUGUGGCAUUGUCGUCUUGGACAUGUCAACAAGAAACGCAUAGCCCAACUCCAAAAGGAUGGAGUGUUGGAGUCAUUCGACCUUAGGGAAGAUGACACAUGCGAGUCUUGUUUGCUUGGAAAGAUGACUAAGUCACCCUUCACGAGUACAUGUGAAAGGGGCGAGGGUCUAUUGGACCUAAUACAUACCGAUGUAUGUGGACCGUUUAGAUCAACCACGAAGGAUGGGAACCGCUUCUAUGUGACUUUUACCGAUGACUAUAGUAGAUAUGGGUAUAUCUACUUAAUCAAGCAAAAGUCAGACACCUUUGAAAAGUUCAAAGAGUUCAAGAAUGAAGUGGAGAAUCAAUUGGGCAGGAAAAUCAAGAUGCUUCGAUCCGAUCGAGGAGGAGAGUACCUAAGUCUUGAAUUCCACGAUUAUCUCAAGGAGUGUGGAAUAGUUUCGCAAUUGACGCCUCCUAGGACACCGCAGUUGAAUGGUGUGGCAGAAAGGCGUAAUCGAACCUUAUUGGAUAUGGUUCGCUCUAUGAUGAGUCGUGCUUCACUACCUAUCUCUUUUUGGGGGUAUGCCUUAGAGACUGCCGCCCAUAUCCUUAACCGAGUCCCUACUAAGAAGGUUGCCAAAACACCUCACGAGAUGUGGACAGGGAAAGCUCCCUCGUUGGCACAUAUCAAGGUUUGGGGUUGCGAGGCUUUCGUAAGACGAGAUACUCACGACAAGCUUGAACCUCGAAGUGAGCGAUGUAUUUUCAUCGGCUACCCGCAGACAUCCUUUGGAUAUCUCUUCUAUAGACCGAAGGACAAUGUUGUCUUCGUUGCGAGGAGAGGAGUUUUCCGAGAGCGAGAACUCAUAAGCCAAGGAGACAGUGGGAGGCAAAUCGAGCUUGAAGAGAUUCAAGAGUCGAUAGAUGAAGGAACCUCUACCGCUGGCACUCAACCCGAGGAGGAAACUCCGGUUGAACCGAUUGACGAAUCCUUACCUCUUAGACGUUCCGAUAGAGUUAGAGUUCAACCCCAGUUUUAUGGUUUUCAUAUUACUACCGAAGGGGACACGUAUAUUAGUGAUGGUACACUAAUAAAUCUUGAUGAACCUAAUAGCUAUAAGGAAGCCAUGGCAGGCCCGGAGUCUGCAAAAUGGAAAGAGGCAAUGGAUAGCGAGAUCCAAUCCAUGUAUGAUAACCAAGUUUGGAAUUUGGUUGAUUAUGUGCCCGGACGUAAGACCGUUGGGUGCAAAUGGAUCUUCAAGAAGAAGACCGACGUGGAUGGAAACGUACACACAUAUAAAGCGCGAUUGGUUGCGAAGGGCUUUACUCAAACUCCCGGAGUUGACUAUGAUGAGACCUUCUCACCAGUUGCGAAGAUUAAAUCUAUUAGAGUGAUGCUAGCAAUUGCCGCAUUUCAUGAUUAUGAGAUUUGGCAAAUGGAUGUCAAGACCGCUUUCCUUAACGGAAAGUUGGCUGAGGAUGUUUACAUGGCUCAGCCAGAGGGGUUUGUGGAUCCGAAGCAUCCGAAUAGAGUGUGUAAGCUUGAGAAGUCCAUUUAUGGACUUAAGCAAGCGUCUCGCAGAUGGAAUCUUUGCUUCGAUGAGAAAGUCAAAGAGUUUGGAUUUGUACGAAGCGAAGACGAAUCUUGUGUAUAUGUCAAAGCCAGUGGGAGUAUAGUAAGCUUCCUCGUUCUAUAUGUCGAUGACAUAUUACUCAUAGGAAACGACAUCCCGACUCUGCAGGAGGUAAAGUCCUGGCUCGGGAAGUGUUUCGCUAUGAAGGACCUCGGAGAGGCUUCUUACAUUUUGGGAAUAAGGAUAGUAAGAGAAAGAAGUAAGAGACUAAUUGGACUUAGUCAGAAUACUUACUUAGAGAAGGUACUAAAACGUUUUAGUAUGGAAAACUCAAAGAAGGGAGAACUACCGAUACAAAGUAAUGCCAAAUUGAGUAAGACUCAAAGUCCGAGUACCGAAGCUGAGAUAGCAGAAAUGAGCCGAGUACCAUACGCUUCCGCAGUUGGCUCAAUCAUGUACGCUAUGACUUGUACUCGCCCUGAUGUAGCCUUCGCUUUGAGCAUGGUUAGCAGAUAUCAAGGGAAUCCUGGCAAAGCACAUUGGAUUGCGGUGAAGAAUAUCCUUAAGUACCUUCGGAGGACGAAGGAAUGGUUCUUAGUCCUCGGAGGGAGUGAUGACUUGAAGGUGCGAGGGUAUAGUGACGCCAGUUUUCAGACCGACAGGGACAACUACCGUUCGCAGUCGGGCUGGGUCUUUACCCUAAAUGGAGGAGCAGUGACAUGGAAGAGUUCCAAGCAGGAAACCGUAGCUGAUUCAACGUGCGAAUCAGAGUACAUUGCAGCGAGCGAAGCGUCGAAGGAGGCAAUAUGGCUAAAGAACUUCAUCGGUGAUCUUGGAGUCGUACCUGCCAUAAAGGAGCCAAUGGAGAUUUUCUGUGAUAACGAAGGUGCGGUUGCCUUAACCAAGGAACCGAGGGAUCAUGGUAGAUCAAGACAUAUCGACAGAAAGUAUCACUUCAUUAGACAUCGUGUAGAAGAAGGACAACUCGUAGUGAAGAGGAUAUCAUCAGAAGAUAACCCAGCAGAUCCGCUUACGAAGGGACUGAGUAGGGUUAAGCACUUGCAGCAUGCUAGGAGUAUUGGGCUGAAGGAUGAUAUUAGCAUAGAUUAGAUAGUAUUAGAAACGUGUAAUAGAUAAAUGUAAUUGACAUUUGAUGAUUAAAUAAAGGAGUUUUAUUUAUGAGUAAUGUUACUAUCUUAUGUUAAUUGUUUAGCUAUUGUUUCACUUUGCAUGUUUUGACUUCCAGAAUAAUUGAGGUUAUUAGGAAUAAUCGAAUUAUUCAAAUGGUCCACAAUCGUUCAUAUGUUGGAAGUAGAUAUGAAAGAAGAUUGUCAUGAAUUGGUGUGUAGAAUGUCUAAAUGGUGUUAGACAUAGCAAAGGAUUGCUGCAACGUUCAUGAGUGCUUAUGAACUAGUUUUGAGCAUUGGAAUAAACCCGCGCUUGCUGGAAUCACCUUAUGGAAUACGAUAUAAAAGGUGAUCGCAAGACGAUAAUAUCAUAUAGUCUUAAAACCUAGAUAUAUGGUUUAUUAUUUGUUAAUUGAUUGUACAUUGAUAAUACGAAAACGCAUCAGUAACUUGGUGUUAUAAAACGUAUUGUUGUGUAUAGUUGGUUAAUGAAUAAGUAAAUGCAUAUAAGUCGAAGUUUAUCUGUAACUUUUAUCUAAGAAGGUAAAAGCGAUAUCUCGGCCGCUCGAUGAUUUGAUUUGACUUAUGUGCCGGGCCCGGUCAGAACUGAAUUGAUGUGUUCGAUUAAGUUCUAUGUCAAAUAAAUCAGAGAUCGAGAAACCUAAAUGCUUGACUAACCAUUCCAUAGGAUUGUCAGCAUGAUAUCUAACAGAGGACUGUACGUUCCCUUAUCUAAAGGACAAGAUUGAUUAGAUCAGAGUUGACAGCGUCUUUGAGAGCUACGAUUGCAAACCGAAUUGUACUUGUAUAGUUACUAGACUUAUCCAAGUGGGAGACUGUUGGAAUAGUGUCUAAGGCUGUAACUAUAUCCGGUUGUGCAUGGUCCUUUUGGGUUGCCUUCACCAUAGCAACUUGAUAGGAUGAUUUAUUAAGAGAGAAUAAAUAUUAUUAAUAUAUUAUGGGAAUAAUAUAAUGAAUAAUAUAUUUGUUAUUUGAUUAAUAUAAGUCAUAGAAUUAAUUAGAAUUAAUUUGGUGACUUAAAGAGAUUAAUUAAAUAAAGGGGUAUAAACUGUCAAUUGUUUGAUAGUUAAGCUUUAAACUGUAAAUCCAUUUGGAUAUACUAUGGACGAAUUCUAAGAGGAUUAGGAUAGCUAAAAUCGUCCAUCAGAGUUAUCUAGGAAUGGAUUUGGAUAGCCUUAAGAGAAGAUUAUCUGAUAGGGACUUAUCUGUAAUCAUUAAGGAAUCUACAAGUAUAAAUAGACCCCAUGGGAUAGGGAAUUCGAUACUUCUGAAAAAGCAAGAGAACUCUGGUCGAAUUCCUCCCCUCUCCUCUCUCCCAAAUCAUCCUCCUUGCUUUGGUGUUUGUAAGCCAUUAGAGGAGUGACAUUUGUGACUCUAGAAGCUCCAAGACCUCAAGAUCAACAAGGAACUCAAAGGUAUGAUUCUAGAUCUGUUUCAAUGUUCUUAUUUAACCUAAUUAGUAAUUAGAAGUCUUGGAUUCAAAGCAUGUUUAUUAGAAAGCCUAGAUCCAAGCAUUAGGGUUUUGCAUGCGCACAUAGGAAAGUUCUUAUGGCUAAAACCCAUCAAAAUUGGCACUUCAUCUCAAGUAGAGAACCCCUGGCCGAAUUGCCUCCCCUCUCCUAUCUCCCAAAUCAUCCUCCUUGCUAUUUGGUGUUUGUAAGCCAUUAGAGGAGUGACAAUUGUGACUCUAGAGCUCCAAGACAACAAGAUCAAACAAGAGAUUCAAAGGUAUGAUUCUAGAUCUGAUUUAGUAUUGUUCUUAUACCUAAUUAGUCAUUAGAAGUCUUGGAUUCAAAGCAUGUUUAAUUAGAAAGCCUAGAUCCAAGCAUUAGGGUUUUGCAUGCGCACAUAGGAAAGUUCUUAUGGCUAAAACCCAUCAGUGGUAUCAGAGACUAGAUUGGUUUCUAUUGAAUUGAUGCAUUGGUUGCUUGUUUGAUGCCUUUAAAAUUCCAAUUUUGUGUUUCUGUCUGAUGGACUCGGUGAGUCCCAUAGUGGACUCGGCGAGUCCAUUGGGGUACUCGGCGAGUCCAAGCGUCAGAAAGAGCUAAUUUCGGGAUUUCUUGUUGUUUAUCUUUGAUAUACUUCCCUUAAUCAUAGUAGAUCAAUAUAAAUCCGAUUUUAUGAUAUAUAUGAGUAUAUUCUUUAUCUAAUUGAAGAUAUUUAUCAAUUAAUAAAAUAUUUUUUUCCUUAUCUUUGAGAUACUUGCUUUAAAUUGUCGCUUGUUUGUUUGAAACUUAACUGCAAAAUUCGAUUUUUGUGUUUCUGAGUCAUGGACUCGGCGAGUUGGCCUGACUCGGCGAGUCCCUUGGUGCACUCGGCGAGUCCAAGCGUCAGGAAUGGCCAGAUUCGGGAUUUCUUCAUGAUUAUCUUAUGGAAACUUACCUUAAUCAUAUUAGAUCAACCCUAAUCCGAUUUUUUGAUAUAUAUGACUAUAAUCUUGAUCUAAUUAAAGAUAUUUAUCAACUAAUAAAAUAUUUAAUUUCCUUAUAUGAUAAUUAAUUAAUUAUUUUGAUUAAUUUGGUAAUUAUCUUGCAAGAAAUCUUGAAUAAAUCAAAUAUAGAUAAUUAGGAAAUUAAUUGUUAAUUAAAAUUAUUUGUUAUUUGAUCCUCCAUGUUUUAAAUGGUUAAAACUUGUCCUCAUGUUUUGAAAUUUAUAUUUUGUGAUGAAAAGUUUUAAUUUAGACAAUUUAAAUUUCAAACCCUAGAUUUUUAAAAGGUUUCAAAUACAACCCUAUACUAAUAUUAUAUUUCAAGAAUAAUAUAUAUAUGUAUAACUAAAAUGCUUUUCUUACCGUUAGUAGGCCUCAUUCACGAAGUCGAUCUAUAAGGCGGGUAUAAGGUUGCAGCCUACAAAAUGGGGCUUAAUGGGUGUACACUCACACCCAACGCUUGCUUGAUCGGUGGAGGGUCAUUAGCCGAACGGGUAGGAUAGGGCAACCUCAUCCUCUCAUUAAAAGUAUAAUAAGUAAUACAAAGUAACUACACAUUUUUAUAAUAAAUUCCCAAUCUUAGUUACUUUACGAAAGUGAAUUAAUGCAAUCGCAUGAAAUUACACUUUGCACCCUUGCUAAGAAGUUAGUGGAGCGUGUGUGGUUUACCGGCACACUAAUUGGUUCUAAGCAAAGGUGGCAAAGGGUGAUUCAUUGUUUAUCAUAGUUCGAUGGAGCGUGUGUGGUUUACCGGCACAUCGAAUAGGUGAUCGUUACAAUGAAGGCACCAUGUGAAUUUGCAUGGUAAUUCACACCCGCUUUGUGAUCCUCGGUAUCCCAGUCACAAACAAGAGGGGCAUAUCGAGAUUUAAACAUGCCAUUGAAUAGUUUCAAUGAAUCUCAUCCGAACCUAGGAAUUCUCAAUACAUUUAGGACUUAUAGUUUGGUUUUUAUGGUGGAGAAUUAGUGAAUCGUCAUUCACUUACCUUCAAUUUAUUUGCAUGUUAGAUUACGGCAUCCCUUUUCUAAUAUGUAAAUAUUGUUGUUGGAUCCUAGCCCUAAUUUUUCUUAUUGGGUGAUAAUUAGGGAUUCAUAUUCUAAUCUAUCUUUGUCCUUUCUAUUUGUAGAUGUCGAACGCAAACAACGUUGCUGCUAGUUCUUUCACAUUGAUGAGCCUUUGCCAAAAGGUCACUUUCGAUGGAACGAACUUUAGUGAAUGGAUAAGAUACAUUCGCACCAUUGCUCGCUAUGAGGAUAAGGAGUAUGUCCUCGACGAGCAGCUCGAGAAAAUCAACUCUGAAAUCGCUACUCCGGGUGAAACGACCGCUUUUGAAAGUCAUGAGCACGAUGCAACGAAGGUACAUUGCAUCAUGAUAGCCACCAUGAACUCCGAAUUCCAAAAGUCCUAUGAGGACAUGUACCCGUACGAGAUGCAUCAAGACUUAUUGGAGAGAUACCACCAAAACGCGAGACAAGAGCGUUAUGAGAUUUUC
rnacentral:lncRNA from 1 species